rnacentral:rRNA from 1 species
GACGAACGCUGGCGGCGUGCUUAACACAUGCAAGUCGAACGAAGUGGCGCACGGGUGAGUAACGCGUAAUCAACCUGCCCUUCAGGGGGGGACAACAGUUGGAAACGACUGCUAAUACCGCAUACUGAAGGAGGAGAUUGCGUCUGAGUAGCUAGCUGGAGGGGUAACGGCCCACCAAGGCGAUGAUCAGUAGCCGGGCUGAGGGGAUGAACGGGCACAUGUGGACUGAGACAAGGCACAGAAUACGAAGGGAGGGAGCAGUUGGGGAUCUUCCGCAAUGGACGAAAGUCCGAAGGAGCAACGCCGGGUGAGUGAUGACUGCCUUUGGGUUGUAAAGCUCUGUUAAUCGGGACGCGGUACCUGAAGAGAAAGCAACGGCUAACUACGUGCCAGCAGACGCGGUAAUAC